rnacentral:rRNA from 1 species
AUUGAACGCUGGCGGCAGGCCUAACACAUGCAAGUCGAGCGGCAGCACAGAAGAGCUUGCUCUUUGGGUGGCGAGUGGCGGACGGGUGAGUAAUGUCUGGGAAACUGCCCGAUGGAGGGGGAUAACUACUGGAAACGGUAGCUAAUACCGCAUAACGUCGCAAGACCAAAGUGGGGGUCCUUCGGGCCUCACACCAUCGGAUGUGCCCAGAUGGGAUUAGCUAGUAGGUGGGGUAAUGGCUCAACUAGGCGACGAUCCCUAGCUGGUCUGAGAGGAUGACCAGCCAGACUGGAACUGAGACACGGUCCAGACUUCUACGGGAGGCAGCAGUGGGGAAUAUUGCACAAUGGGCGCAAGCCUGAUGCAGCCAUGCCGCGUGUAUGAAGAAGGCCUUCGGGUUGUAAAGUACUUUCAGCGGGGAGGAAGGCGGUGAGGUUAAUAACCUCGCCGAUUGACGUUACCCGCAGAAGAAGCACCGGCUAACUCCGUGCCAGCCGCCGCAGUAACAC